rnacentral:rRNA from 1 species
UAGGGAAUCUUCGGCAAUGGACGAAAGUCUGACCGAGCAACGCCGCGUGAGUGAAGAAGGUUUUCGGAUCGUAAAACUCUGUUGUUAGAGAAGAACAAGGACGUUAGUAACUGAACGUCCCCUGACGGUAUCUAACCAGAAAGCCACGGCUAACUACGUGCCAGCAGCCGCGGUAAUACGUAGGUGGCAAGCGUUGUCCGGAUUUAUUGGGCGUAAAGCGAGCGCAGGCGGUUACUUAAGUCUGAUGUGAAAGCCCCCGGCUCAACCGGGGAGGGUCAUUGGAAACUGGGAGACUUGAGUGCAGAAGAGGAGAGUGGAAUUCCAUGUGUAGCGGUGAAAUGCGUAGAUAUAUGGAGGAACACCAGUGGCGAAGGCGGCUCUCUGGUCUGUAACUGACGCUGAGGCUCGAAAGCGUGGGGAGCAAACAGG